UAAUUAUGGAGUGUUUCAACCAUGGUUUAAAUAUUAGCGAAUGCAUAUUUUAACUGUAGAUAAAUGUUUAUCGAAACACUAAUGAGCUGAAGAUGAUCAAGAGUAUUACACUGAAUACGAAGCAUCUUCCUUAGAAGAAAUGGUUUCUAACACAUUAAUAAAUAAAAUAGAAAUAAAGGGGCUCUAUGAAAAGGCAAUGAAUAAAAAAAUGUUCCUGAUAGAUGGACGAUAUUAUCCUUACAAAAAGAAACCUAUUUGUAUCGUUAAAGCUUUAAGAUGAAAGCGG